UCCUUCUUAUCGAAGGCAGUUUUCGAAGAGUGCAUCCCUUGCGGGAUUAGCAACAUCGAAUAGGGGUUGCGCUCGUUGCGGGACUUAACCCAACAUCUCACGACACGAGCUGACGACAACCAUGCAGCACCUCUGCAGACUCCCUUGCGGGUCAGCCCCUGUUUCCAGGGACUUACCAUCUGUAGUUCAAGCCCAGGUAAGGUUCUUCGCGUUGCGUCGAAUUAAACCACAUGUUCCACCGCUUGUGCGGGCCCCCGUCAAUUCCUUUGAGUUUCACCCUUGCGAGCGUACUCCCCAGGUGGGUCACUUAAUGCGUUAGCGUCGUUGCCGAAGGGGUCGAAUCCCCCGACAACUAGUGACCAUCGUUUAUGGUGUGGACUAC
rnacentral:misc_RNA from 1 species